AUAUCCCGUGCGGGAGAGUCCUCGGUCAUCACCGGGGCGCCGAAGGGGCAACUCCUCCCACCAAGCUCUCAGGCACCAGGACCGCACGGGCUGG
rnacentral:ncRNA from 2 species